UUAGCUCAGGACUGCAUAUGCUUCUCUUGCAUGCAAUGAAGCUUCUUAUAGCUGUGGCUCUGUUGGUUGUUGGACUCUCCCCUAGCCCAGGCUUCAGUCAGUUUGGUGAUGGCUCUGGACAGACCACUGAGGCACUAACUGAUGCAACAACUCAGAAACCAACUGAGGCAACAACUGAAUCAGAUAGAGUUGACAACGUCCUAAUCAAUUACAGCUAUGAAAAUGUCUACAUAUUCAUUUUCUUCGGAAAUUCAUUUGACAAAGACUUCUACCAGCUGUUUAAUCAUGAUACACCGUGCUUUUUGAAUCAACUUGUUUUCAGAAAAACAAACACAAAUGAAAUCUUCCAAACGGAAUACAUGGGUAGUUGCAAGUACUUCGAUGGCUUUGUCAUUCGGAUCACUAUGAAUCCUAGAGAUCAUCUUAAGCUAAUUUUGGACGAGUUUAUUGACACCAACUCUACUACACCCUUGGGCUUGGAAAUGUACACUGCAGAUAUGCUUGGAGCUCCGUUCAAUCUUCGAAUAGAACCAGAAAACGCCAUUGAGUGUGACGUGAGAUUGUCCUUGUCUUCAUAUGUAGGGAUUAUUGACACUGAUUAUUGGAUCGAUGAGGGGAUUCUUUUGAUUCAUAUCUAUUCUUUCAUUGAUGUUGCGACUGUCAAUCCCAGCAAGCUAUCGCUCUCUCGCAAUAACUAUCGGGAUGCAAGCAACACUGUUAACAUUAUGGGUGGGGAAAUAUUGAACCGGUCGCCUGGCUUAACAUCAUCUGUGGCUAUUAGACUGACUGCUAGUGAUCAAGAUCUUCUUACGAGCAAAGGAAUAUGCACUGGUGGUAAUAAGAGUUUCAAUUACGACUGUUACCUUAGCAUAAAAUCGGGAUUUGCUGCUGCGUAUUUUGGAGCAGAGGUUUAUCCUACUCGCUAUAAAGGUUAUACUGUCAAUAACAUCCAGAGAGCUCCUACAGAUUCUGAGCCAGUGACUAUGUCUAUUCAGCUGGAGUAUGUCGAUGGGUUGACUUUGAACUUGACGCUCGGUUUAGGUCAGCCAUUCAAUGUUCGCCAGUCAAAUUUUGCUCUGGGCGAGAGAAUUAUCAGUGUGACAUGUACUAGCAGGGACACUAAUGAACAUGUGAAUCCCAUGCUGGAGAUUGACAAUGGUGCAGUGCCUAUUCCAUCUAGCUACAUCCAGAAUAAUUGGCCCAGCUCUACCACCUUGAAUGCACCCAGGGGGCUAGUUGAGUCUGGUUUGCAAGGUUACUACACGUGCAGGACAGAGGGAGAUACAUUCCUCAGCCCUCACAUUCUGCAUUCCAAUUAUUUUUACAUCUUUUUCUACCAAGGAUCCUCUGCUACAGCUGAUGUGCAUGAAGACAUUGUACUCCGCUUUGCACAUGACGACUUGUAUGACAGUCAGUUUGCAAAUUUUGGCAAUCGGUUCUAUGUUCUUAAUGCUGCUGACAGAUAUAACGAGGUACCUUUUGAUUAUCAUUUUGAAAUAAACACACCAUUUCCGUACCAUGCUGAGCUGCACAUCAACAGGACACAGUUUGACUAUGAGGGAGAGUACUUCAUCGCAUACGAUUAUUAUUCUUUAGGUCCACAUUUUAUUAUUGAUGUCAACGAACCUGAACUCACUCUCUACCCACCGGUCCUGACUGUGCUCAGCUCUGGCACUCCCGAUACAACCGCCUCUCUCACUUGUACCUCUGACAAUACAAAUGUUCCUGUGCUGUUCUCUGGAAACUACAGUUUAAUGGGCAUCACAUCUACCUACCUGGAUGACACCAACAGCUCUGUGAGAUUGGAUUUUGAUCUGGACAAAGACUUGAUUGGCAUGCUAGAGGGGAUGGAGUUCACCUGUGAGGCCAGGGACCCAGAUGACUUUAAUUCAACUGUAUCAACUUCCAGCUCUACCUUCCGGGAAGUGUCAGCACCAUUGUCUCUCUUUGCCAUUGAACCUGACAGUGAUCGCAAGCAACUUAUGGAUGGUGCGAUGAUCAAUACAGCCAGCUCGUUUGAAUGUCUGUGGCAUAUCAAUCCUACACGAACGGAUAUCAAGUCCAUCCCUGGGACAUUGCUCUGGAGAACCAACCACUUGGAGACAAAAGUAGAAAUGGAGUUCACUUCAGACGCUAGUGGUAAAGAUUUUAUAGUCACUACACUCGAGAAUGGUAUCACUCUGAAUAUUCUCGGUGAUUUCCUUGGAAGUGUUUCGUGUAUCUAUGGCGAUGACAGUGUAAAUAUCAACGUUGCCACUAAAGCUCUGGUGGAGGGUGUCGACUUUAUUGCUCCCAUCUUCCCUGAUGAUGCUGUGGAAUUGUUUGAUAGUGAUGAUGGAUGUUCACAGCGGAUUUACUCGAGCACUGGCAUUCCUUUUGGAGCCUCAGCUCACCAAUACGCUCAUGUCUGCACGAAUGGCAUGUUGACUGUUGGCACUCCACCUCUCUUUCUCGGCACAGCACAAGAACGAUUUCCUACAUCUGAUAUCAGGAUCAGCCAAUCAAAUUUGCUCGCUCCAUUCUGGAACGACCACGAUAGCCGAAACCCCGCCUCUAAAGUAACAUACAGAGUGUACAAUAGUGCUGCCGGUGAUCCAGAUAUUAUGUAUGUGAAAUCUUUUAUCUCAAAUCAUGUCGAUGCUAAAGAAUUUGGCAAGUUUGUUCCCACCUGGAUGCUAGUAGCCUCCUGGAGAGACGUUCCUCCGUAUCCUCACACUGCAACAGACAGGGGAAGAAAUUCGUUUGAAGCCAUUAUCAUAACUGAUGGUGUGGUAACCUUUGCUGUCUACACGUAUAACUGUGAUGAUCUGCAAUGGGGUGAGUCGCAGGAUGGUGACUAUUCUACCAUCGGCUACAACAUCAAUCCAGCCUCGUUUUUUGGUAGUGAUAGCAACGAAUUGUCUUCCUUCCACGAUCAUCGUCUUUCAAAUCUUCCCAUAAGCGAGAUGAUUGCAUGUUCCAGCCUUGCUAGAGGAUCACGUUAUCAUAAUGAGGUGUAUUUUGUCGGUCAGUCUAGAGAUACCACGCAAUUGGCACGUGCAGAAUGUACCAGCUCUAUCAACAACGAUACCUUGUAUAGUGACAUAAUCAAUGGAACCACACUAAAGGAUGGAUGCCCUUGCAACUCAGCUCAAGCAUCAAGGGAUUUUGCCUUUCGUUUUAUCAACAUGUUUGACUUGACAUUGGACCUUGUAUAUGCUGAGCAAUUCUGUGUGACUCCAAGCUUCAACCAUACAAACACUAUUCUCUGUUGCUAUGGACAAAGCAGUGGAGCUCUCAACAAUGUUGGUGGUGUCAGUGGAGUGGUGGCGUACAGUCCUAGCUUCUUCCCAAGAGAGUUUCUUGAUAAUGAUUACAACUUGCGUCGCAAAUGCAGCAUAGGAGGUGAAGCUGACACAUUGUACAGGACUAGACGACCUCCAGUGACCUGUGCCACUUAUACCCCACCAAGAAGAACUUUCUGUACGGGUGAUCCUCAUCUCACCAACCUUGAUGGAGCUAAGUUCACAUUCAACGGUUGGGGAGAGUACAUUCUACUGGAGUUGGAGACUGAUGACACCACGUUCUGGGUGCAAGCUCGUAUGCAACCAAUCACAGAUUCUCUGGCUACUGAAUUAGGUGGUUUCGCUUUUGCGAUGAGCAGGGACACUCCUGUUGAAAUACGCCUGAAUGCAACUAGACAGCUUGAGAUCCUAAUCAGUGGAGAAGAUGUGACUGACCAACUGGUCAACGUCAGCUCUUCUAUAUCCACUGAUUUCUAUUCAGUGUCUCGAAGCAACUCCAAUUCCAUUCUGGCUACGUUCCCGAAUGGAAUGGGAUUAAUGGUGAAUCUUUCGAGCAUGCUCACUUUCACAGUCAUCAUCCCUGAUGCCUUCCGUGGACUAACUAGAGGAAUGGUUGGGAACUACAACGGUAAUGUCACUGAUGAUGUCGUAUUCCGAAACGGAACUAUGGUGCCUAUUAGUGAAUUUUCCUUUCGGAUACUUCAUCAAGUGGGACUGUCAUGGCAAGUGGAUGCUUUGGAGUCUCUCUUCACUUACAUUGAGGGCUUGACUGCUGCAGACUUUGCUGUCCUUGACCACGAUCCACCCUACCUGGAUGAAGCGGUAGCCAAUGCGUCAGCAGAAGUGCUUAAAAUGUGUGGAGACAAUGUCGAGUGCAUUUUUGACUCCAUAGAAACAGGGGACAUCAAUAUCGGCCUUGAAACCAUGACGAUGAUUUCCAUAAUUGAUGAAGAUGAAAAGCUAGCAUCCAACUUCCCUCCCCUCAUCUAUGGUCCUGACAGUCUCUAUGCUACGCUGGGGGAAGAGGCUGUACUGGUGUUCAAUGUGACUGAUGACAAAGGCAAUAUCAAUGUUACACUGGUGGAUGGACUGCCAGCUGGGGCCACUUUACUGCCUACCCCUAAGGGCAACUAUACGGUGGAGUACGCCUUCAGGUUGGAACUUAAUGCAAUUGCCGAUGUUUCUCUCGUGUUUUUGGCCACUGAUGAGCUGGAUGCUGGGUCAACUCUGGAAGUGCAGGUUGUGAUCUGUGCUUGUGAGAAUAAUGGCAACUGCACACUGGAGGGAGUGGUGGACCAGAGUGCCAGUACUGUCGUUUCCAACUGUAUAUGCCCUCAAGGUUGGGAGGGUGACUUCUGUGACGCUGACGUUGAUGGCUGUGCCAACUUUGACUGUUUCAUGGGUGUGGAUUGUGUGGACGUCCCUGCUCCAGGAGUGGGGGCCAUGUGUGGUCCAUGCCCUCCAGGGUAUCUUGGAGACGGGUCGAAGUGCGCCGAUAUCAACGAAUGUAACGGUACUAAUGGCUGUACUCAACUGUGCGUCAACCAACCAGGAAGCUUCGAGUGUGCCUGUUACCCUGGUUACGAGCUCGUCAGUCAAACACAAUGUAGAGACAUUGACGAGUGCUCAUUGCUCAAUGGUGGUUGUCAUCAGAUCUGCACCAACUGGAUUGGAGGGUUUGAUUGCAGCUGUGAUGAAGUUACACCAUCAGCACUGACAACAGAACCUGCCAAGUUGACCCGGUAGCGAUGUGUGAUGCUAGUAACAGCUGUGCCCAAUCAUGUGUGAGAUUAUCCGGAGUGGAAACCUGUAGCUGUUUCCCUGGUUACGAUCUGGCGUCCAAUGGGAUCGGCUGCACAAAUAUCAAUGAGUGUCAGGAGAAUCCAUGUGAGCAGAUCUGCAUUGACUUGGAGGGAGGUUAUGAAUGUUCGUGUCGUGAGGGAUACCAGCUGUUGCCUGGGGGGAGAUGUACCG